CCUACGGGAGGCAGCAGUGAGGAAUAUUGGUCAAUGGGCGCGAGCCUGAACCAGCCAAGUCGCGUGAGGGAAGACGGUCCUAUGGAUUGUAAACCUCUUUUGUCGGGGAGCAAAAGACGCCACGCGUGGCGUUCCGAGAGUACCCGAAGAAAAAGCAUCGGCUAACUCCGUGCCAGCAGCCGCGGUAAUACGGAGGAUGCGAGCGUUAUCCGGAUUUAUUGGGUUUAAAGGGUGCGCAGGCGGAAGAUCAAGCCAGCGGUAAAAUUGAGGGGCUCAACCUCUUCGAGCCGUUGAAACUGGUGUUCUUGAGUGAGUGGAAGGUAGGCGGAAUGCGUGGUGUAGCGGUGAAAUGCAUAGAUAUCACGCAGAACUCCGAUUGCGAAGGCAGCAUACCGGCGCUCAACUGACGCUCAUGCACGAAAGUGUGGGUAUCGAACAGGAUUAGAUACCCGAGUAGUC
rnacentral:rRNA from 1 species